rnacentral:rRNA from 1 species
AAACCAGCACCUCAAGUGGUCAGGAGGAUUAUUGGGCCUAAAGCAUCCGUAGCCUGUUCUGUAAGUUUUCGGUUAAAUCCAUUAGCUCAACUAAUGGGCCGCCGAAAAUACUGCAUAACUAGGGAGUGGGAGAGGUAGACGGUACUCGGUAGGAAGGGGUAAAAUCCUUUGAUCUAAUGAUGACCACCUGUGGCGAAGGCGGUCUACCAGAACACGUUCGACGGUGAGGGAUGAAAGCUGGGGGAGCAAACCGGAUUAGAAACCCCGGUAGUCC